AUGCGGCGAGGGCGGCGGGAGCGCGGCGCGUGCUGGGAGUGCUCUUUAAAGGUCUCCCAGCAUCGCCCCUUCCCCCUGACGCCCCACGGCCAGCACCGUGGGCUCCCUCCCUGCAGGGGUUUCGCUACGGCGCGCGUUUUGAGACCCAGCAGGAUGGGACCCCCGCCUGGGGGAAAAGCCCCCGGGCAGCAGCAGCAGCAGCGGGUAGGGGAAGGCUUCAGCCAUCCCUGCAGCCUCCACUUCUGCUCCCUGCUGGUUUUUCCCCAGGGAGCAAGGCCCCGGGCUGCCCCCCCUUGCCCAGCCGGAGCCCCGCUGCCCCCCCCGGUGGGCUCAGCCCACCCCUCGCCGGGGCCGACAGAUGCUCUCCCGCCUGCGCCGCAGAUGGGCGAGGAAACAACGCGCUGCAUUCACGGACCCGAGGCCGGAGCCCCCCUUCCUCAUCCUGCCCCAAAACCCCCUCCAUACAACUUUCUGCCCCCCACCCCCACCCCAAGCCUCUCCAGGGGGGCUCCGAGCCCCCGGCUCCCCCCGCGGCCCCACGGCCCGGCGGGACGCAGCCUGCCUGGGAGCAGCUCCCCGGGCCUUGGCUGCGCAGGGACAGAGCAGCUCAUUUAUCAUCCACCGCCGCCCCGGCCCUGCGGUCGCUGUUUUGUUUUUUUUUUUGAUUUUUUUUUUUUUUUUUGCAACAGAGAAGCUGGGAGGGAGAGAGAAUUUCUCAAGUCGGCCCCGGCAAGAACUGAAAACAUAUGCCCUGGCGGCAAAGCCGUCCCCCGGGGCGCGCGGCGAUGGAGGCGAGCCUCGCGCAGGAUUUUCCACCGCGGCUCCCUCCGCGCCCCGGUGCCGGGGAGGGUCCCCGUUGGAUCCAGAGUUUUCAAGCCACCCCGGGGCUGGGGAUGGGGUCUGCAGCCCCGUCCCACCUCCGGCACCGUCGUGUCCCCUGGCACGGAGGCAAAGCCAAGCGAGGCGGGGCCGGGCGGCCUCCGCGUGGCCGCGUUGCGCCAGGGCCGGGGAGCGGGCGCUGGUUGUGCAAGGUGCUGA
rnacentral:lncRNA from 1 species